GACGAACGCUGGCGGCGUGCUUAACACAUACAAGUCGAACGGAAAGGCCCUGCUUUUGUGGGGUGCUCGAGUGGCGAACGGGUGAGUAACACGUGAGUAACCUGCCCUUGACUUUGGGAUAACUUCAGGAAACUGGGGCUAAUACCGGAUAGGAGCUCCUGCUGCAUGGUGGGGGUUGGAAAGUUUCGGCGGUUGGGGAUGGACUCGCGGCUUAUCAGCUGGUUGGUGGGGUAGUGGCUUACCAAGGCUUUGACGGGUAGCCGGCCUGAGAGGGUGACCGGCCACAUUGGGACUGAGAUACGGCCCAGACUCCUGCGGGAGGCAGCAGUGGGGAAUAUUGCACAAUGGGCGGAAGCCUGAUGCAGCAACGCCGCGUGCGGGAUGACGGCCUUCGGGUUGUAAACCGCUUUCGCCUGUGACGAAGCGUGAGUGACGGUAAUGGGUAAAGAAGCACCGGCUAACUACGUG
rnacentral:rRNA from 1 species